CCUACGGGAGGCAGCAGUGAGGAAUAUUGGUCAAUGGGCGGGAGCCUGAACCAGCCAAGUCGCGUGAGGGAAGACGGUCCUAUGGAUUGUAAACCUCUUUAGGCGGGGAGCAAUGCCGGCCACGCGUGCCCGGCGGGAGAGUACCCGCAGAAUAAGCAUCGGAUAACUCCGGGCCAGCAGCCGCGGUAAUACGGGGGAUGCGAGCGUUAUCCGGAUUUUUGGGGUUAAAAGGGUGCGUAGGCGGAUUUUUAAGUCCGCGGUAAAAUGUCCGGGCUCAAGCCGGGCCGGCCGUUGAUACUGGGGAUCUUGAGUGGGCGAGAAGUAUGCGGAAUGCGUGGUGUAGCGGUGAAAUGCAUAGAUAUCACGCAGAACUCCGAUUGCGAAGGCAGCAUACCGGCGCCCGACUGACGCUGAGGCACGAAAGCGUGGGGAUCGAACAGGAUUAGAUACCCCUGUAGUC
rnacentral:rRNA from 1 species